GUGCUUGCUUCGGCAGUACACAUACUAAAAUCAGUACGAUAUGGAGAAGAUGAGCAUGGCCCCUGCGCAAGGACGAUGUGCAAAUUCAUGAAGCAUUCCAUAUUUUU
ensembl:snRNA U6 U6 spliceosomal RNA